rnacentral:rRNA from 2 species
GCGAGGCCUUUUGGUUGUAAAGCACUUUAAGCGAAGGAGGAGACUACUUAGAUUAAUACUCUAGGAUAGUGGACGUUACUCGCAGAAUAAGCACCGGCUAACUCUGUGCCAGCAGCCGCGGUAAUACAGAGGGUGCGAGCGUUAAUCGGAUUUACUGGGCGUAAAGCGUGCGUAGGCGGCUUUUUAAGUCGGAUGUGAAAUCCGUGAGCUUAACUUAGGAAUUGCAUUCGAUACUGGGAAGCUAGAGUAUGGGAGAGGAUGGUAGAAUUCCAGGUGUAGCGGUGAAAUGCGUAGAGAUCUGGAGGAAUACCGAUGGCGAAGGCAGCCAUCUGGCCUAAUACUGACGCUGAGGUACGAAAGCAUGGGGAGCAAACAGGAUUAGAUACCCUGGUAGUCCAUGCCGUAAACGAUGUCUACUAGCCGUUGGGGCCUUUGAGGCUUUAGUGGCGCAGCUAACGCGAUAAGUAGACCGCCUGGGGAGUACGGUCGCAAGACUAAAACUCAAAUGAAUUGACGGGGGCCCGCACAAGCGGUGGAGCAUGUGGUUUAAUUCGAUGCAACGCGAAGAACCUUACCUGGUCUUGACAUAGUAAGAACUUUCCAGAGAUGGAUUGGUGCCUUCGGGAACUUACAUACAGGUGCUGCAUGGCUGUCGUCAGCUCGUGUCGUGAGAUGUUGGGUUAAGUCCCGCAACGAGCGCAACCCUUUUCCUUAUUUGCCAGCGGGUUAAGCCGGGAACUUUAAGGAUACUGCCAGUGACAAACUGGAGGAAGGCGGGGACGACGUCAAGUCAUCAUGGCCCUUACGACCAGGGCUACACACGUGCUACAAUGGUCGGUACAAAGGGUUGCUACCUAGCGAUAGGAUGCUAAUCUCAAAAAGCCGAUCGUAGUCCGGAUUGGAGUCUGCAACUCGACUCCAUGAAGUCGGAAUCGCUAGUAAUCGCGGAUCAGAAUGCCGCGGUGAAUACGUUCCCGGGCCUUGUACACACCGCCCGUCACACCAUGGGAAUUUGUUGCACCAGAAGUAGGUAGUCUAACCGCAAGGAGGACGCUACCAUCGGUUCCCGUGU